AUAAUCUAAUUGUCCUGAUACAAAGAUUGUUGCCUUUGCCCAGAGUCCUGAACAUCGACACUGAGAGAAUUAAUAAAAUGAUUUAAUUUGCAGAGCUACUUGUCCACUUAAGGAGGUGACUACCCACCUGUUUGCAGUACUGCCAAUCUCCUAAGGAAAAUAGAAUUUACGGUAAGUAAAAUUACUGUUUUCUUCCCAUCAUUCUGGUACAGGUUGAUCUUGGACGUUCCCUUACCGAACGUAGAGGUAGCCACUAAGCGUUCCAACUGCCGAACAGUAGCUGUACGGAUCAGUUAGUUCCCCAAACAGCCGAACAGCAAUCAUACGAAUCAAAUAUUCUCCCAAACAGCCGAACAAGCGUACUCCAUACGAAUAAUCCCCCAAUGACGAGACAAAGCUCCGUAUUGAGGGUCAGCAGGAAUCUGGUUUAAUGAGGGCCUGGUUUUUAUGCAAGUCUUCCAUCUGGUGGACACUCCCCUAGGGGACCAAAUGGGGGACUGUGACAAGGACAUUGUAGCAACCAAUCACAGGGUACACACUUAGCCAUUCCCUUUUUCUUACCUAGAAACCUCUGCUCUGCUCAGGGAGACAAUUGUGAAGUAAUUCAAUUAUCUCCCAGGACAGAGCCUAAACGCCAUUUUAGGUGACAAUAACAAAAAGACAUAAAAAUACAUAACUGUUACAUUUUACAAUAUAUUACAGGCAUUCAACAGGUCCCCAAAUAGCUAGGAUCUGAGCGCACCAAAGUACCGAAUAGCGCUCCGAUCCUUUGCACACAGUCCAAUCGCCAUGGAGCCAAAGUGUUCACAAAGUCAGUAUUCAUACGAAUAAGCUCCACGGGAUGCCUGUCUGGGGUUUGGUGUAUUCAGGUACAAACUAACGAAUAUAGGGCCGUUCGUGCCAAAAUGUAUCCGAUUUCAGUUCCAUGAGUUGGGCAUCGAACUCCGCUGUGCGUUCGCGUGUUUAAAAUGGCCGCGACCUCAUGUUCGGUAUACGAAUGGUGGCCACCCAACUACCGUAUCAAUUAAGAGGUGUCUGCGGUUAACCUCAACAUUCUGAUGGAGCCAAGAGGUUAACCGGCAGCACACUACUGGGUGGCCGGCCGUUCGGUAGUUUUAUUCGUUACAUAGAAAGGGAACGACAUAGAGUACACAGGAAGGAGGAAACAUGAAUCAAACAAACGAAUUACAAAUACGGUCAUUUCAGUUUAAGACAGAGGGAUCUGUCACACGGCUCCCCGUUUGUGGAACACUCCGGCAAACCCGGUUUGAUCCUUUAACGGGUCAACUUGGGGAUGCCCGGACCGAAGAACUGGAGUAGGGUCCGUAUGCCAUGAUAACCCAUCAGCAUUACCAUUGUGCUUACCGAGUCUGUAGGUGAUGGUAAGGUUGCAGGGCUAGGCUCCACCUUAGCAACCUGCCGUUGUCCCCUGUGACCUGGUUAAGCCAUACCAAAGGGUUGUGGUCUGUAAUCAAGGGGAAUUCUUGUCCAUAUAGGUAGGGAGUUAGUUUCUUAAGGGCCCAGACAAGGGCCAAACAUUCUUUUUCCACUGCCGCAUAACUCACUUCCCGUGGUAGUAAUUUCCUGCUCAUGUAUGCGACAGGGUGCUCUCCAUCCUCCCCGACCUGGCUUAGCACAGCCCCCAGUCCAAACAUGGAAGCGUCUGUAUGGACGAGAAAACUUUUAUUAUGUACUGGGGCAGCCAAGACGGAGGCAUUCACGAGGGCUUGCUUUAAGGCAUUGGUGCGGGGUGUGGGCCAGUUCGCUACUGCCUCCACCUUGGCUGGUUCAGGUCUCUGGCUUCCGCACCCCACCCUGUGUCCCAAGUACUGUACCUCUGCUAUGCCCAGAUGGCACUUAUCUUGCUUAAGGGUCAGGCCUGUGGCCUGACUCUUAUCCAGAACUACCCCUACAUACGUUAGGUGCUCUUCCCAAGACCCACUGUAGACCGCAAUGUCAUCUAGGUAUGCACAUGCAAAGUCCUGGAAUCCAUCAAGGAGUCUAUCCACCAUACGCUGGAAAGUAGCCACUUAUCCCGGCAAAUUAUGCAUCCCUGGAUAGACCUGAUCUGGGUGAACAACAUAUCCAAAAAUCACCCAGAUCAGAGCAGGGGUUCAAAAGUUUUGUGGAAGUCACAUCUGACUGACCACAAGCAUAGCUUUCAUGCCCAAAACUGUUCCACAGAUUUAGGCUGUGCGGCCGGUCUAUCUUCUCCUCUAUCCUGGAAAUAAUUGGCUAAAGUGGCUGUGGUAAGCCAAUUAUCUCCAGUAACAGGAAAUAUCUCGAAGUCCAAAAACUGUUACAAAAGCCACAUACAAAUACAUAACUCUUAUAAUACAAUGUUUAACCUAUUUGUCCAACAUAUCCCCAGAUAGCUAGGAUCUGAGCGCUCAAUAUGUAUGAAAAGUUCACAAAUACAGUUGGAUCGCCAUGGGAUUAAACAAUAGCAAGGGCUGAUGAGAGAUUGAGGAGGGACAUAGCAGCCAGUUUAAACUGGUCUGACAGUGUCCCUGGGACAACGCCCUGCUGGAGAACAAUGGACAGGAAAAAGUGGGAGGGGAAGAGGCACAUUUUCCCAUGGAUUUAAAGGGGCAGAAAAAGUUUUUUAAAAUCCAAUAAGUCACAGGGGCCAUAAUCACAGGGCAAAAGGCUAGCCAUUAGUCCUCUCCAAGAACAUGUGGCGAAGGGCACCUCGUCACAGCUAGUAAAUAGCUUCUUGUGAUGAGAAUUACCUGGCAGUUAUGUUCUGUUAGUGAUUGUUGGGAUGUGAACAAACUCAGAACAUGCCACCUUUAGUUAAUUAAUAGGUAUACUAUGAUUGGUUGCAGAGAAUCACCAUAAUAAAGAAAAUAUUUGAUUCUGAGUUGGGUGCUGCCCCACCCUCAAAAAAAUUAAAUAAUAGAAAAAAAUAAAAAAAAUAUGUGUGUGUGUGUAAUACCGUUGUAACGGAUCACCUGACACCCCGACUGGGUACCUCCGUUGAAGGAUGCUCGUAGCGCUUCCUGAGGACUCCAAGCACUGCAGCAGACACCACAACCACCGAACCGGAGAAGCAUAUGAAUGCUCUCAAGCAUAUGAAUGCUGUAAGCAGCUGAACAGGAAAAGCAUACAAUCAGCUUACACUCCUGGCUAUCAGCAUACAAUCCAAUUCCCCCAAUAACGAGACGACACUUCGUUUUGAGGUCAAGCAGAACUGCCUGUACUGGCACAUACAGCCUCUUUUAUUCACAAUCCACAAACCUAGUAAUUCCCACAGGGUUUUGAAAUACAACCAAUCAAUCCGUACAAUACACACAGACACUCCCACACAAAAUCCUCCCCUCUGCCUGUGAUAUGAUUACUGAACACAAUGGUUAAUAAAAUUAUCACAGGCAGAGAAAUACAGUAUUAUAAAACAUAUCACAGGGACCCCAAAACAUGUAAUAACCCCAUAAAAAUCCCAUCCUCGGAACCGGGGGAUCUGGGUGAACCACAUAUCCCAAAUUCACCCAGAUCCGUUCAGUAGUUUGGAAGAUACAGUUUAAUGCAGAUUACGCAGAACAUAUACAGGCUAUAUGAAAAAUAAUUACUGUAUAAUGUGUCCCCUGUUGUAUAGUUUACAACUACUGCACGAUGUCUUUGUGCACCAAAUACCGGCGAGAUGGCACCGUGUAGAAAAGUCCAAACAGUGUCUGUUAGUUAAAAUGGCUGCCAUCCAUUGUUCUCACCAUGUGCUUCAUCCAUUGUUCUCACUAUGUGCCUCUGAUACAUGAAAUGGUGGCCACCCAGUAACUCCACAGUUUGCCUGGUAGUCUAUCCAGCCGGACCAACAGAUGAAACACAUGGGGAACAGUGCAACAAAUGAAGGGAAUCAAAAGAAAUAUGGACAAUAGUCAUAUUUGUGCACAAUCUCCAGUUUUGUCACAGGGCACAAAUAGUGUUUUCAAAUGCCAUAUAUCCCAGGGCCAUAGUCAGAAGGUAGGAGGAGGGCAAGCAGCCCCCCCAAGAACACGUGGCGAGGUCUGUUCCGCCACAACCGUCAAAGAAACUUUAUUUGGAACUCAACCGCAGGUGAAUGAAUACAUAUAAUACUGUCAUUUUAAGAAAGUUUGAUUUAUUAAAAUGAGGUAUUUUAACUUUAGCAAUCAUCUGCAGCAAUAUAAAUUGCUUUCCCCACGUGCACUCAUCUGUCUGGCUAAAGACUUAUGACGCCGACCUCGGAGUAUGCUCCCUUUGAGGUUUCAUUAGAUUGAUCUCCUUGUGAGUUGUAAAUUAUAGCAGUCGCUCCUCUCUGAGUUUGCCGUAUAGGAAUUUUGCUGUUUGUCAGCUUGUCCUACUCCGUGUCCUACGUGAUCCCCACGGGGACCUAAAAACUAACAAUCUCUGCAAUGUUAACAUAAAGCUGAAACAUAUAUGUGAGAAAGUAUUUACAUCUCCCCCUCCCCUGCCCCCAUUUCCUGACUAUAAGAAUGGUAAGAUCUUUGACAUUUCUACUACUGUGUAGAAGGAGGGGGAGGGCUGACAUUGUCAAAUUAUUUGCAGACAUUAAAAAUGUGGAAUAAAUGCCUCACAGAGAAAAAUGUUCCUCUAAUACUUAAUUAUUCUUGCUGUCUAAAUAUAAGUAAGUAAAGGACUACAUAACAUUUUGUAAAGCGAAUUAAGUGUGUGUAUGCAAUUUGAUUGUGAAGAGGUUAAAGCACGCAAAAUAUUAAGUUACUUCUGAAUUCAUAUGAUGCUUCAAAGUCACAUUUCUAAUCUUUCAUGGAAAGUGUCAGUUUUGUUUUAUUAUUUAUAUUUUUGGUAAUAAAUUUAUGACGACCACUUUUUUUUUUUUUUUUUUUUAAUAAACCCCUCUACUUUUCUUUCAGGUUUCUGUCAGCUGAAGUUACCGUGAAGCACAUGAUAAGAACAGAAAUACAUUAAGCAAGACUAUGAAGAAAUCCUUUAAGAAAGGACCAAAGAUUCCAGCUCUCAAAUUUCAAGAAAUCUCUCAGAAUGUCUACAAAUGACAUAGUAAACGGAAAUAUAAAACAUUUUCCAUGUUCUGAAUGUGGGAAAUGUUUUAGCCGUUAUUCAAAAUUUGUUAUCCACUUCAGGACUCACACGGGAGAAAAACCUUUUUCAUGUUCUGAAUGUGGGAAAUGUUUUAAUCAGCGCUCAUAUCUUAUGAAACAUCAGAGAAUUCACAAAAUAGAUAAACCUUUCUAUUGUUCUGAGUGUGGGAAAAGUUUUCCCUGUAAUUCAGAUCUUGUGAGACAUCAGAAAACUCACACAGGAGAGAAACAGUUCUCAUGCUCUGAAUGUAGGAAAUAUUUUAGUCAACAGACGCAUCUUGUUAAACAUCAGCGAAUUCACUCAGGAGAGAAACCUUUCUCAUGCUCUGAAUGUGGGAAAUGUUUUGUUUGUAAAACACAACUAGUCAUACAUCAGAGAAUUCACACAGGAGAUAAAUCUUUCUUCUGUUCUGAAUGUGGGAAAAGUUUUGUUUGUAAAUCAGAACUUCUUAGACAUCAGAGAUUUCACACAGGAGAGAAACCAUUCUCAUGUUCUGAAUGUGAGAAAUGUUUUCACAGUAAAUUUGAUCUUGUUAGACAUCAGAUAACUCACACAGGCGAGAAACCUUUCUCAUGUACGGAAUGUGAGAAAUGUUUUAGUCGGCAUUCGCUUCUUAUUAGACAUCAGAGAACUCACACAGGAGAGAAACCUUUUUCAUGUUCUGAAUGUGGGAAAUGUUUUAACCGGCACUCCAUCCUUGUGACACAUCAGAGAACUCACACAGGAGAGAAACUGCUCUCAUGCUCUGAAUGUGGGAAAUGUUUUAGUCGGCGUGCACAUCUUCUUUUACAUCAGAGAACUCACACAGGGGAUAAACCUUUCUCAUGUUCUGAAUGUGGGAAAUGUUUUAGCCAGCGCUCAGUUCUUACAAAGCAUCAGGGAACUCACACAGGAGAGAAACCUUAUUCAUGUUCUGAAUGUGGAAAAUGUUUUCAAAGUAAAUCGGAUCUUGUUAGACAUGAGAGAACUCACACAGGAGACAAACCUUUCUCAUGUUCUAAAUGUGGGAAAUGUUUUAGCCAGCAUUCACAUCUUGUUGCACAUCAGAGAACUCACACAGGAGAGAAACCUUACUUAUGUUCUGAAUGUGGAAAAUCUUUUAGUCUUCAAACUAAUUUUAUUGCACAUCAAAGAACACACACAGGAGAGAAACCUUACUCAUGUUCUGAAUGUGGGAAAUGUUUUAUCCAGCGCUCAGAUCUUACCAAACAUCAGAGAACUCACAGGGCAGAGAUACAGAGUGCCUCCCACUUUUUAAGGGACCAAAAGUAAUGGGACAGAUUAGCAGUCAUAAAUCAAACUUUCACUUUUUAAUACUUGGUUGCAAAUCCUUUGCAGUCAAUUACAGCCUGAAGUCUGGAACGCAUAGACAUCACCAGACACUGGGUUUCAUCCCUGGUGAUGCUCAGCCAGGCCUCUACUGCAACUGUCUUCAGUUUCUGCUUGUUCUUGGGGCAUUUUCCCUUCAGUUUUGUCUUCAUCAAGUGAAAUGCAUGCUCAAUCGGAUUCAGGUCAGGUGAUUGACUUGGCCAUUGCAUAACAUUCCACUUCUUUCCCUUAAAAAACUCUUUGGUUGCUUCUGCAGUAUGAUUCGGGUCAUUGUCCAUCUGCACUGUGAAGCGCCGUCCAAUGAGUUCUGAAGCAUUUGGCUGAAUAUGAGCAGAUAAUAUGGCCCAAAACACUGCAGAAUUCAUCCUGCUGCUUUUGUCAGCAGUCACAUCAUCAAUAAAUACAAGAGAACCAGUUCCAUUGGCAGCCAUACAUGCCCACGCCAUGACACUACCACCACCAUGCUUCACUGAUGAGGUGGUAGGCUUUGGAUCAUGAGCAGUUCCUUUCCUUCUCCAUACUUUUCUCUUCCCAUCACUCUGCUACAAGUUGAUCUUGGUCUCAUCUGUCCACAGCAUGUUGUUCCAGAACUGUGAAGGCUUUCUUAGAUGUUGUUUGUCAAACUCUAAUCUGGCCUUCCUGUUUUUGAGGCUCACCAAUGGUUUACAUCUUGUGGUGAACCCUCUGUAUUCACUCUGGGGAAGUCUUCUCUUAAUUGUUGACUUUGACACAUAUACACCUACCUCCUGGAAAGUGUUCUUGAUCUGGCUAACUGUUGUGAAGGGUGUUAUCGUCACCAGGGAAAGAAUUCUUUGGUCAUCCACCACAGUUGUUUUCUGUGGUCUUCCGGGUCUUUUGGUGUUGCUGAGCUCAUCGGUGCAUUCUUUCUUUUUCAGGAUGUUCCAAACAGUUGAUUUGGCCACACCUAAUGUUUUUGCUAUCUCUCUGAUGGGUUUGUUUUGUUUUUUUCAGCCUAACGAUGGCUUGCUUCACUAAUAAUGACAGCUCUUUGGAUCUUAUAUUGAGAGUUGACAGCAACAGAUUCCAAAUGCAAAUAGCACACUUGAAAUGAACUCUGGACCUUUUAUCUGCUCCUUGUAAAUAGGAUAAUGAGGGAAUAACACACACCUGGCCAUGGAACAGCUGAGCAGCCAAUUGUCCCAUUACUUUUUGUCCCUUGAAAAGUGGGAGGCACAUAUACAAACUGUUGUAAUUCCUACACUGUUCACCUGAUUUGGAUGUAAAUACCCUCAAAUUAAAGCUGAUUUCCUUUCAAAUCCAUUGUGGUGGUGUAUAGAGAAAAAUAAUUAUUUUGAUGUCCCAAUAUUUAUGGACCUGACUGUAUAACAUGAUAAAUCGUAUAAACAUCAUUAAGAAUCAUAUUACCAAUAUUGAAC
rnacentral:lncRNA from 1 species